CCGGCGACCGGCGCACGGGUGAGUAACACGUAUGCAACCUGCCCGGUGGCAGGGGGAUAAGCGGGGGAAACCCCGUCUAAUACCGCAUAACGCGGCCUUGGGGCAUCCCAAGGGCCGCCAAAGGGAGCAAUCCCGGCCACGGAUGGGCAUGCGGCGCAUUAGCUAGUCGGCGGGGUAACGGCCCACCGAGGCGACGAUGCGUAGGGGUUCUGAGAGGAAGGCCCCCCACACUGGUACUGAGACACGGACCAGACUCCUACGGAAGGCAGCAG
rnacentral:rRNA from 1 species